AAAGAUGGUUUCGGCUAUCACUUACAGAUGGGCCCGCGGUGCAUUAGCUAGUUGGUGAGGUAACGGCUCACCAAGGCCACGAUGCAUAGCCGACCUGAGAGGGUGAUCGGCCACACUGGGACUGAGACACGGCCCAGACUCCUACGGGAGGCAGCAGUAGGGAAUCUUCCGCAAUGGACGAAAGUCUGACGGAGCAACGCCGCGUGAGUGAUGAAGGCUUUCGGGUCGUAAAACUCUGUUGUUAGGGAAGAACAAGUACGAGAGUAACUGCUCGUACCUUGACGGUACCUAACCAGAAAGCCACGGCUAACUACGUGCCAGCAGCCGCGGUAAUACGUAGGUGGCAAGCGUUAUCCGGAAUUAUUGGGCGUAAAGCGCGCGCAGGCGGUUUCUUAAGUCUGAUGUGAAAGCCCACGGCUCAACCG
rnacentral:rRNA from 1 species